GACGAACGCUGGCGGCGUGCUUAACAAACCAAUAUGCCAAGUUCGAACGAAAAGACGGAAAGAGCUUGCUCUUUCGGGAAUUGAGUGGCAAACGGGUGAGUAACACGUAAACAACCUGCCUUCAGGAUGGGGACAACAGACGGAAACGACUGCUAAUACCGAAUAAGUUCCAAGAGCCGCAUGGCCCAUGGAAGAAAAGGUGGCCUCUACCUGUAAGCUAUCGCCUGAAGAGGGGUUUGCGUCUGAUUAGCUGGUUGGAGGGGUAACGGCCCACCAAGGCGACGAUCAGUAGCCGGUCUGAGAGGAUGAACGGCCACACUGGAACUGAGACACGGUCCAGACUCCUACGGGAGGCAGCAGUGGGGAAUCUUCCGCAAUGGGCGAAAGCCUGACGGAGCAACGCCGCGUGAGUGAUGACGGCCUUCGGGUUGUAAAACUCUGUGAUCCGGGACGAAAGGGCAGAGUGCGAAGAACAAACUGCAUUGACGGUACCGGAAAAGCAAGUCACGGCUA
rnacentral:rRNA from 1 species